UUAUUUUCAAGACAUGUUUAUUUACGUAUACAUAUGUUUAAAAAGAAUUUACUUGAUUUUAACGAUACUUAAGAACCGAGUCACUCAAUAAAAAUGUCUGGCAGCCCUAGAGCAUGGACCACUAAGUGAACAUCCGGCAACCAAUUGCCUUCUUUCUAUUCGAACUUCUUUUGGUUAAGGUCGUCGGCGCGCAUUAAAUUGUGAAAACUAAAAUAAAAUGGAGCUAGUUACUCUAAAAUAUAGCGCAUGCAAUGCUCAGCAUACGAGGUUGUGUCUUGUGAAAACUGAUACUAUGAUCAACAUAAUAAAAUGAGACACAUACGGGACCAACAUGGUAACUUGAAUGGAACGCCAUUUCCACGUGGUGCAAUGUGAGACACCUGGAGACUUCAAAAUAUUCUAAGGCAUUGCAAGCAGCCUCGGAUAUAUCCAGUUAUUCCUGUAUCUCCCUUAAAAGGAAUUUUACAAGGCAAUGGAAUACCUAUUCGGAACUGAAAUUUGAUUGAACUAGUUAAAAGGCAAUCUAAAUUGAUGAUAUUUUCACAAGAUUUCCAAGUGAUUCUGUUGAAACAACAAAAAAGGUGUUCAACCAGGUGUCAAAUCAGGAUUUUUUAACAAAGUAGUUCUUUAUAUAUAAAGUAGAUUCUUUAUUUAUGCGUAAAAAAUAAAAUAUUUUAUCUGUCUAAA